AUGGGGAAAAACCACCGGGAAUGGGGAGGAUCCGGGGGGAAAACACCGGGAAUGGGGAGAAAUCCAUGGAAAAACACCGGGAAUGGGGAAAAAUCCAUGGGAAACCACCGGGAAUGGGGAGGAUCCGGGGGAAAAACACCGGGAAUGGGGAAAAAUCCAUGGGAAAUGGGGAGAAAACACCGGGAAUGGGGAGGAUCUGGGGGAAAAAACACUGGGAAUGGGGAGAAUCUGGGGAAAAAUCCAUGGGAAUGGGGAAAAAUCCAUGGAAAAAACACCGGGAAUGGGGAAAAACCCAUGGGAAUGGGGAGGAUCUGGGGGAAAAUCCAUGGGAAUGGGGAAAAACCCAUGGGAAUGGGGAGGAUUUGGGGAAAAAACACCGGGAAUGGGGAAAAAUCCAUGGGAAAUGGGGAAAAACCACCGGGAAUGGGGAGGAUUUGGGGAAAAAUCCAUGGGAAAUGGGGAAAAAUCCAUGGGAAUGGGGAGGAUUUGGGGGAAAAUCCAUGGGAAUGGGGAGGAUCUGGGGGAAAAAACAACGGGAAUGGGGAGAAUCCAGGGAAAAUCCACGGGAAUGGGGAGAAUUUGGGGGAAAAAAACUCUGGGAAUGGGGAGAAUCCGGGGGAAAAUCCACGGGAAUGGGGAGAAUUUGGGGAAAAACACCAGGAAUGGGGAGAAUUUGGGGAAAAACUGAUGGGAAUGGGGAGAAUCCGGGGAAAAACCCACGGGAAUGGGGAGAACUUGGGGAAUGGGGAGAAUCCGGGGAAAAACCCACGGGAAUGGGGAGAACUUGGGGAAAAAUCCACAGGAAUGGGGAGAAUUUGGGGAAAAAUCCACGGGAAUGGGGAGGAUUUGGGGAAAAAACAGCGGGAAUGGGGAGAAUUUGGGGGAAAGUCCAUGGGAAAUGGGGAAAAAUCCAUGGGAAACCUGCUGGAAAUGGAGAAAAUGGGAGAAAAAUCCAGGAAACGGGGGAAAUCCAUGGAAAAAACCCCCGGGAAUGGGGAGAAUUUGGGGAAAAUCCAUGGGAAUGGGGAGAAUUUGGGGAAAACUGAUGGGAAUGGGGAGGAUUUGGGGGAAAUCCACGGGAAUGGGGAGAAUCCGGGGGAAAAAACAUCGGGAAUGGGGAGAGUGUGGGGAAAAUGGGCAGAAAAGGGGGGAAAAAGUCGAUGGGAGGUGGGGAAAAAUGGGAGAAAUCUGUGGGAAGUGAAGGGAAAAACCCCGGGAAUGGGGAGAAUCCGUGGGAAAUCCAUGGGAGAUUCGUGGGAAAUGGGGAAAAAUCCAUGGGGAAAAAUCCAUGGGAAAUGGGGAAAAGUGGGAGAAAAAUCCAUGGGAAAUGGGGAAUUGGUGGGAAAUCCAUGGGAGAUUCAUGGGAAAUAGGGAAAAAUCCACGGGAAAU
rnacentral:lncRNA from 1 species